rnacentral:misc_RNA from 1 species
AUGAAGAACGCAGUGAAAUGCGAUAAGUAAUGUGAAUUGCAGAAUUCAGUGAAUCAUCGAAUCUUUGAACGCACAUUGCGCCCGCUAGUAUUCUGGCGGGCAUGCCUGUCCGAGCGUCAUUUCAACCCUCAAGCCCCCGGGCUUGGUGUUGGGGAUCGGCGAGCCUCCGCGCCCGCCGUCCCCUAAAUCUAGUGGCGGUCUCGCUGUAGCUUCCUCUGCGUAGUAGCACACCUCGCACUGGGAAACAGCGCGGCCACGCCGUUAAACCCCCAACUUCUGAACGUUUGACCUCGGAUCAGGUAGGAAUACCCGCUGAACUUAAGCAUAUCAAUAAGCGGAGGA